rnacentral:rRNA from 1 species
GAUGAACGCUGGCGGUAUGCUUAACACAUGCAAGUCGAACGGACUCUUCGGAGUUAGUGGCGGACGGGUGAGUAACGCGUGAGAAUCUGGCUUUGGGUUCGGGACAACCACUGGAAACGGUGGCUAAUACCGGAUGUGCCGAGAGGUAAAAGAGAAAUUGCCUGAAGAUGAGCUCGCGUCUGAUUAGCUAGUUGGUGAGGUAAAGGCUCACCAAGGCAGCGAUCAGUAGCUGGUCUGAGAGGAUGACCAGCCACACUGGGACUGAGACACGGCCCAGACUCCUACGGGAGGCAGCAGUGGAGAAUUUUCCGCAAUGGGCGAAAGCCUGACGGAGCAAUACCGCGUGAGGGAAGAAGGCUCUUGGGUUGUAAACCUCUUUUCUUAGGGAAGAACAAAAUGACGGUACCUAAGGAAUCAGCAUCGGCUAACUCCGUG